CCCCCAGGCCGGUGACACCGAGAGCUGCCGGGUGAGCCUGAGCCUGGAGCACUCCUUCGAGCUGGGAGGUGGCAGCGCGGGACGGGCUGUACCGGGUGCGGGUCCCCCGCAGGCCCCUGGGCCCGGGUGAGGAGGGGGACACCGAGUUUGUCACCUCCUUCGUGAGGGCGCCCCGAGACCGCCGCCUUCAUCCGGCACCUGGAGCAGGAGCAGGCGCAGCGCGCCCGGAACCCCCAGGAGCAGAAAUCCUUCUUUGCCAAAUACGUGAGGGACCCCAAAACCACCCAGCCCCAAAAAUCACCUGGGACACCC